UCGAGAAUUUUUCUCAAUGGGCGAAAGCCUGAACCAGCUAUGCCGCGUGAAGGAUUAAGGUCCUCUGGAUUGUAAACUUCUUUUAUCUGGGACGAAAAAGGGUCUUUCUAGAUCAACUGACGGUACCAGAUGAAUAAGCACCGGCUAACUCCGUGCCAGCAGCCGCGGUAAUACGGAGGGUGCAAGCGUUAUCCGGAUUCACUGGGUUUAAAGGGUGCGUAGGCGGGUAGGUAAGUCAGUGGUGAAAUCCUUGAGCUCAACUCGAGAACUGCCACUGAUACUAUUUAUCUUGAAUAUUGUGGAGGUAAGCGGAAUAUGUCAUGUAGCGGUGAAAUGCUUAGAUAUGACAUAGAACACCUAUUGCGAAGGCAGCUUACUACGCAUAUAUUGACGCUGAGGCACGAAAGCGUGGGGAUCAAACAGG
rnacentral:rRNA from 1 species